AUGGCGUUGCCGCCACCACCUCUGGAGCACCUGUGGUCCAACCAGUUUAGUGCAGAUCAAGACCGUAUUGACCCCAGAGGCCCUCCAGUGAAGAGCAGCUCCUGUGCCUGUUUUUGUAAAGCCCCUGCUGACUGUGAGAAUAGUGGAGGCAGCAACUACAGACUAACAUUCGGCAAAGGAACUCUCUUAACUGUGAAUCCAGAUGUCAAGAACCCUGACCCUGCCGUGUACCAGCUGAGAAGCCCUGGAUCUAGCAGAACUUCCCUCUGCCUGUUCACUGAUUUUGAUUCUAACGCCGAUGUUCCCCAAGCCACGGGUUCCUCAGCAUUCGGCUCAAAGAGCACAGUGCUGGACAUGAGGUCCACACAUUCCAAGAGCUAUGGGGCCCUGCUCUGGAGCAACAGCACUGAUUUUGGAUGUGAAGACACCUUCAACGAGACCUUCUACUCCAGCUCAGAAUUUCCCUGUGAUGUUACGUCGGUACAGAAAAGCUUUGAAACAGACAUAAACCUGAACUUCCAAAACCUGUCCGUGAUCGGGUUCCGCAUCCUGCUGCUGAAGGUGGCCGGCUUCAACGUGCUCAUGACACUGCGGCUGUGGUCCAGCUGAGGUCACCGAGAACGUGAGAGCCCAACGCUCCUCGCUGCUCGCUCCUCACCACUGGCCUCUCCGUCAAGCAGAGAGGUGCACUCUCAGCCUCCAAGGAGGAGGAGGAGGCCCCCUUCGCAUCUGCGGCCCCUCUGGCAACGCCACCGACUAGAUCCUCCCAGAUAUUUGCGAUCAAGAUGCUGACGAUCUGUCAAACACUGCUGCCACUCCUGCCGUCCCCUCAUUGCUGCUUGUCACUGCCCGACGUCCCUGGGGGAGGCAGGGGCUGCUGCAGCCCCUCCUGGCUGUGGGACCUCCCACCCCUCCAGAGGCUGCCUCUGACAUCUCACUGGGCGAUGGAUCACCAGGGGGGUUCUCUCGGGUUUUGGCUCCUGGAGAACAAUGUGAGGAGCUUAUAUUGUUUGUACUUUUCAGAUAGUGUUCAUGAAGAAAUGCAUGUCGCCCUUUCCCCCGAGGUGUGGGGGAAACUGCCUCCCGACCGAGGCCCUGCUGUGCUGCGUGUGUGAGCCGUGUCGCGUCUGCUACUGCCCCGCUUCAUUAAAGUGAUCUGGAAGAGCC